rnacentral:tRNA from 1 species
UGUCCAGGGGCGGGAAUCGAACCCACGACCUUCCGCUUACCGGGCAGAUGCCAUGUCCACUAGGCUACCCUAUG